rnacentral:rRNA from 1 species
GUCUAUGGCCAUACCACCCUGAACGCGCCCAAUCUCGUCUGAUCUCGGAAGCUAAGCAGGGUCGGGCCUGGUUAGUACUUGGAUGGGAGAGGGGACAUUCGGACUGAGAGUCU